GAAGUAAAAGUCGUAACAAGGUUUCCGUAGGUGAACCUGCGGAAGGAUCAUUACCGAGUGAGGGCCCUUUGGGUCCAACCUCCCACCCGUGUUUAUUUACCUCGUUGCUUCGGCGGGCCCGCCUUAACUGGCCGCCGGGGGGCUCACGCCCCCGGGCCCGCGCCCGCCGAAGACACCCCCGAACUCUGCCUGAAGAUUGUCGUCUGAGUGAAAAUAUAAAUUAUUUAAAACUUUCAACAACGGAUCUCUUGGUUCCGGCAUCGAUGAAGAACGCAGCGAAAUGCGAUACGUAAUGUGAAUUGCAAAUUCAGUGAAUCAUCGAGUCUUUGAACGCACAUUGCGCCCCCUGGUAUUCCGGGGGGCAUGCCUGUCCGAGCGUCAUUGCUGCCCUCAAGCCCGGCUUGUGUGUUGGGCCCCGUCCUCCGAUUCCGGGGGACGGGCCCGAAAGGCAGCGGCGGCACCGCGUCCGGUCCUCGAGCGUAUGGGGCUUUGUCACCCGCUCUGUAGGCCCGGCCGGCGCUUGCCGAUCAACCCAAAUUUUUAUCCAGGUUGACCUCGGAUCAGGUAGGGAUACCCGCUGAACUUAAGCAUAU
rnacentral:rRNA from 1 species